UGGGUGAUUUCUCAAUUUGCUUCUUCUCCAGGGAACGCCGGUAUUUCCUUCUCUGACAUCCUCGCUUUAUGACGAAACCCAGUGGGAGACUCCCUACAGGUUUAACCCCAACCAUUUCCUGGAUGCUGAAGGGAACUUUGUGAAGAAAGAAGCCUUCUUGCCUUUCUCAAUAGGUCGCAGGAACUGCCUUGGAGAAAACCUGGCCAGGAUGGAGCUCUUCAUCUUUGUGGUUGGAUUGUUGCAAAGAUUCGUAUUUCAAGCCCCACCUGGAAUGAAGGAAGAAGACCUGGAACUUACGACAGAACCUGCCUUCACUCGGAGGCCACAUUCCUACUCCACCUGUGCUGUGCCCACCAACUAGGACCCUGGAGAGGUGUGGACUUCAACUCCCAGAAUUCUCUGGCCGCUCUCCUGUCGCUUGGCUUAAUCCAGUAUUCUACUCUUUACAACUGCAUAAGUAAUCUUGCACCAGCGUUUCUUAAGCUUGGCUACUUUAAGAGGGGCAGACUUCAACUCCCAGAAUGCUCCAGCCAGCAUUGCAAGUUGGGAUAUGUUAAAAAACACGGCUGGCUGGGGCAUUCUGGGAGUUGAAGUCCAGACCUUUUAAAGUGGCCAAGGUUAAGAAACACGGAUCUAACACUCAUUUAGAAGCUCUUAUGUUAAAGCAUCUUAAGGCCAUUGACAAAUAUGGUUCCGUGACGCUUUGCAAAAUAUCUGGCACUAUGCUUUAUUUCCAAACUGAAAUCCAAUUUAGAGAUUGCGCUAAAUUAAUGCUACUGCCAUUAAAGUGGAUUGCAAAUGG